rnacentral:rRNA from 1 species
UUGAACGCUGGCGGCAGGCCUAACACAUGCAAGUCGAGCGCGAAAGGUCUUCGGGCUGAGUAAAGCGGCGGACGGGUGAGUAACGCGUGGGAAUCUGCCCAGUAGUGGGGGACAACAGCCGGAAACGGCUGCUAAUACCGCAUACGCCCUACGGGGGAAAGGGGGGGAUCUUCGGACCUCUCGCUAUUGGAUGAGCCCGCGUCGGAUUAGCUAGUUGGUAGGGUAAAGGCCUACCAAGGCGACGAUCCGUAACCGGUCUGAGAGGAUGAUCAGUCACACUGGAACUGAGACACGGUCCAGACUCCUACGGGAGGCGGCAGUGGGGAAUAUUGGACAAUGGGGGAAACCCUGAUCCAGCCAUGCCGCGUGUGUGAAGAAGGCCUUAGGGUUGUAAAGCACUUUCAGUGGGGAGAAAGGUUUGUCACCUAAUACGUGAUGAAAUUGAUGUUACCCACAGAAGAAGCACCGGCUAACUCCGUGCCAGCAGCCGCCGCCG